AACACUUAGCAAAUUUGUAGUGAGGCCUGGGAGAUAGUAUACAUUGGUAAUUACAUGAAUCUUUCCAUUGAUAAAAAGUUUCACAUUACCCUUUCCCAUGACAAGCAUCUUGGUAUCAUUACCUAACUUCACUGAAUCUUUGAAUGAAGAAUCAAAAUCAUAUAACCAGUCUUUUUGGCCAAUCAUAUGGUUGCUGCAGCCUGAGUCUAAGUACCAAAUUUCUUCUCUAAUCUCAUGAUGUUUAUCAGUUCUUGCCAUUAAUAAGGUUUCUUUUUCUUCAUAGAAUUCAGUGUAGUUGACAUU
rnacentral:lncRNA from 1 species